rnacentral:rRNA from 1 species
UGGCGGACGGGUGAGUAAUGUCUGGGAAACUGCCCGAUGGGAGGGGGUAACUACUGGAAACGGUAGCUAAUACCGCAUAACGUCGCAAGACCAAAGAGGGGGACCUUAGGGCCUCUUGCCAUCGGAUGUGCCCAGAUGGGAUUAGCUAGUAGGUGGGGUAAUGGCUCACCUAGGCGACGAUCCCUAGCUGGUCUGAGAGGAUGACCAGCCACACUGGAACUGAGACACGGUCCAG